UGGAUUGAUCCGAGGGAUUGCGAUAGUUAAAAACGCACCCAAAGAAAAAACAUGUCAUUAGUGGCAAAGUACAUGAGUUCGGCUUCGGAGAAUUUUGGCUUGCGUUGUCAUGUGGUUGUGUGAUGAUUGUGUAAUAAAAUAAUGUUUGGACACUUUUAAACUAUGGGACCAUGUAUGUAAUAAGACCUCUAAGGGUCAAACGACUGUGACUUGGUUGUGAUGAUGUGGUAAUCUUAAAAACUAUGUUUUUAAAAUA
rnacentral:lncRNA from 1 species